AAGCUGUGUGCUUGUAGGUAUGUGUUCAGAUCUGGGGUGUUCACAAGCUGUGUGCUUCUAGGUAUGUGUUCAGAUCUGGGGUGGUCACAAGCUGUGUGAUUCUAGGUAUGUGUUCAGAUCUGGGGUGUUCACAAGCUGUGUGAUUCUAGG